rnacentral:rRNA from 1 species
GGGUGAGUAAUGUCUGGGAAACUGCCUGGUGGAGGGGGAUAACUACUGGAAACGGUAGCUAAUACCGCAUAACGUCGCAAGACCAAAGUGGGGGACCUUCGGGCCAUUCGCUAUUAGAUGAGCCCAGGUGGGAUUAGCUAGUUGGUGAGGUAAUGGCUCACCAAGGCGACGAUCCGUAACUGGUCUGAGAGGAUGAUCAGUCACACUGGAACUGAGACACGGUCCAGACUCCUACGGGAGGCAGCAGUGGGGAAUAUUGCACAAUGGGCGAAAGCCUGAUCCAGCCAUGCCGCGUGUGUGAAGAAGGUCUUCGGAUUGUAAAGCACUUUCAGCGGGGAGGAAGGCGAGGAGGUUAAUAACAUCAUCGAUUGACGUUACCGUGCAGAAGAAGCACCGGCUAACUCCGUGCCAGCAGCCGCGGUAAUACGGAGGGUCAAGCGUUAAUCGGAAUUACUGGGCGUAAAGCGCACGCAGGCGGUUUGUUAAGUUGGAUGUGAAAUCCCCGGGCUCAACCUGGGAACUGCAUUCGAAACUGGCAGGCUAGAGUCUUGUAGAGGGGGGUAGAAUUUCAGGUGUAGCGGUGAAUGCGUAGAGAUAUGGAGGAAUACCGGUGGCGAAGGCGGCCCCCUGGACAAAGACUGACCUCAGGUGCGAAAGCGUGGGGAGCAAACAGGAUUAGAUACCCUGGUAGUCCACGCCGUAAACGAUGUCGACUUGGAGGUUGUACCCUUGAGGUGUGGCUUCCGGAGCUAACGCGUUAAGUCGACCGCCUGGGGAGUACGGCCGCAAGGUUAAAACUCAAAUGAAUUGACGGGGGCCCGCACAAGCGGUGGAGCAUGUGGUUUAAUUCGAUGCAACGCGAAGAACCUUACCAGGCCUUGACAUCCAGAGAACUUUCCAGAGAUGGAUUGGUGCCUUCGGGAACAUUGAGACAGGUGCUGCAAGGCCGUCGUCAGCUCGUGUCGUGAGAAGUUGGGUUAAGUCCCGUAACGAGCGCCACCCUUGUCCUUAGUUACCAGCCGUUAGGCCGGGGAACUCAAAGGAGACUGCCGGUGACAAACUGGAGGAAGGUGGGGAUGACGUCAAGUCAUCAUGGCCCUUACGACCAGGGCUACACACGUGCUACAAUGGUCCGUACAAAGGGUAGCCAACUCGCGAGGGCGAGCUAAUUCCAAAAAACCCGUCGUAGUCCGGAUAGCA